UAAGCUUGUGUCAUAUACAUAGAAUCUUUCUCUCUCUAUAUAUAUAUUCUGUGGGUGGUGGUGCAUUGUUGUUCGUAGUUGGUGGAGCAAUUCGUCUGGUUGAUUCCGAUAAGGAGCCUGAUUCUAUAAUGUUAAAUAGUUAUGCGGCCCUUCAUGGUCAGUGUUGGCAAUUUCUUAGAGCGACAAAUGGCAUUUAGCCACGAUAGACUGAGCAAUAACAGGUCUGUGAUCUCCUUAGAUGUCUAUCCUUCACACGCAGGACAAUGAGCGGAUCAAUGUGUGCCUACCCUGCACCAACAGUUGCGGGUAACCCGUUGAAUUAUGUCCAUGAUGAGGGCCAGGGAUUGAAACUGUUUUCCAAGAACAAGGA
rnacentral:ncRNA from 1 species